GUAGUGUGAGGUCGUUUCUGCGCUGGUCUGAGCCAGGUGUAUUCACAGUUUUAAGGCAAGGAAGGUCUAGAUAUAAUUAAGUCAACUAAUUAGUUCCCAGUCUUCAUGCAUAUAUAAGCUAGAACUUGAAUUGUAUAAAUAAUAAUCUAUUUCGAUACAAUUGGGUAGCGCAUUUUUUCAGUCAUAUUCAGAAUUUUGAGUGUUAUAUGAUAAAUAUAUAUUUCAGCAUUGAGUUCUUGUUUCUUUUCUUUUAUAUACCUUUCGAGUGUGUUUAUUUACGUGUUUUGAACGUUUUUCUUUAUGGAUCAAGUCUUGUUUUCUGUUCAUAUUUUUUGUGAGUUGUAAUCCGCGUCAACGUGCUGUUUAUAAUUUUCCUACUUUGCACAAGAACUUUGUAUCAUCGUUAAAAAGUAAGCCAUAACUAUUAUUUUCAAAUUACAGGCUUAAAAGUGAAGAAAAAUCUACCGAUAUAUGAUAUUAGCAUGAUUGAUGGUGGAGUGACGACUGAUUGAUGUAGGUAGAAAGGGCUUUGCGAAGAAGGAAGAUGUUGUUACUGCUGGUGGUCAAGUGACGAUUGGUCGAUGUAAAUGGAAAGGGCUUUGCGAAGAAGGAAGAUAUUGUAACUGCUAGAGCAGGGGUGUCAAACAUGCGGCCCCAGAGAACUUCCAAUGCGGCCCUCGAACGCUUAACAAUAAUUGUAAUAUUUUCUGUUUGCGGCCCUUUGCACAAUUCCCGAAAUGCAAUGCGGCCCUUGAAAACCCACGAGUUUGACACCCCUGUGCUAGAGGACGAGUGACGAUCGGUCGAUGUAAAUGGAAAGGCGGAUCUUUGUGAAGGUAGAAGAUAUUGUUACUGCUGGUGACCAGAGUGGCAAUUGAUCGAUGUAAAUGGACAGCAGGCAUACGAAUGCGAAAUGAGAUUUUGAAGGAACAAGAUAGCAAUGCUCAAUAUGGAGACGGAGCCGGAACGAAAUAUUUCACCCGUAUAUUCUCCAAAAAUCAUAUCUUGGUCUCGGGAUAGCUGUAGUUGGUCUGGACGGAAGUAAAAGAAGAUUAAUCUCACAUGAAGCAGAUGUGGAAUGGCAGUUUUGUCAGAAUUGUACCAAUCGUAUUUUUCAUUUUAUUUUAAUCAGUUCUGUAUCCCCCCUCCCCCCCCCCCCCCCAAGAUCGUGGGUCAUGAUAGGUAUUGAUUGGUUAGGGACACUGAGAUUUCUUAUUUCUUGAGAUGCGUACAUGCGAGGGCUGCCAUCAAAUAACUAUCAGCUCGUAGACUGCUAUCAUAGAUAUAAACUCAAGAUUUAUUCAAAUACUUUAUCAUCUUGUAAGUUAGUAAGUUCCUGUACUAAUCUUUGCAGUU